rnacentral:rRNA from 1 species
UACGUAGGUGGCGAGCGUUGUCCGGAUUUAUUGGGCGUAAAGAGCCCGCAGGCGGCUUGGUAAGUUUUGGGUGAAAUCUCCCGGCUCAACUGGGAGGGCGCCCGGAAAACUACCAGGCUUGAGGCAGGGAGAGGGAUGUGGAAUUCCCGGUGUAGUGGUGAAAUGCUUAGAUAUCGUCAAGAACACCUAUAGCGAAGGCAGCUUACUAGGCUGUAACUGACGCUGAGGCACGAAAGUGUGGGGAUCAAACAGG